rnacentral:rRNA from 1 species
CCUACGGGAGGCAGCAGUGGGGAAUAUUGCACAAUGGAGGAAACUCUGAUGCAGCGACGCCGCGUGAGUGAAGAAGUAAUUCGUUAUGUAAAGCUCUAUCAGCAGGGGAAGAUAGUGACGGUACCUGACUAAGAAGCUCCGGCUAAAUACGUGC